AAGUGGUUGAUGAGCAAAAUAGCGAUGGCAGCAGAAAUGCAGGAGGCGAAGAGGAUACUCUGCCAAGUGUUGAAGUGGUUGAUGAGCAAAAUAGGGAUGGCAGCAGAAAUGCAGGAAGCGAAGUGGAUCCUCUGCCAAGUAUAGAAGUGGUUGAUGAGCAAAAUAGGGAUGGCAGCAGAAAUGCAGGAAGCGAGGACGAUACUCU
rnacentral:lncRNA from 1 species